UUACGUACAUCCAGAAUAUGACGACAAUCAACUUAUAAAUGACAUAGCUCUCAUCAGACUUCCAGCCGAUCUGCUAUUUGACGAGUAUAUUCAACCUGCCAAGUUACCCGAUGCAGACGAACUUUAUGAGAAUGAAAGUGCAGUUGUAUCUGGUUGGGGUCAAACAACUUUCAAUGGUCCACAAUCGAAUCAUUUGCAGUAUUACAAUAUUUUUCCGACUUCAUUUAUCUGCUUGAAACCAAGUCAAAGUACUCCAUGUCAUGGCGACUCUGGUGGUCCAUUG